rnacentral:lncRNA from 1 species
GAAAAUUUUCAAAAUAAUAAGAAAUAAGCGAGGUAAAAAAUAAAAUGAAGUUGGAAAUAAAUAUGGUAAAUAUAAAUAAAAAACAGGUGAAAGAAAUAAAAAUGGAACAGGAUGCACACGUUGGGGGUUGAACCCCUGACCUUGGGGUCAUAGGGGAUCAACCCCCUCUCCCACUGGGCUAAGCACCUACUUGUGAUAAUAAACA